GGGCCUGUAGCUCAGCCUGGUAGAGCGCCGGCCUUGCAAGUCGGAGGUCGUGGGUUCAAUUCCCGCCGGGUCCA
rnacentral:tRNA from 1 species